rnacentral:rRNA from 1 species
CAGCACCUCAAGUGGUCAGGAUGAUUAUUGGGCCUAAAGCAUCCGUAGCCGGCGCUGUAAGUUUUCGGUUAAAUCUGUACGCUCAACGUACAGGCUGCCGGGAAUACUGCAGCGCUAGGGAGUGGGAGAGGUAGACGGUACUCGGUAGGAAGGGGUGAAAUCCUUUGAUCUAUUGAUGACCACCUGUGGCGAAGGCGGUCUACCAGAACACGUCCGACGGUGAGGGAUGAAAGCUGGGGGAGCAAACCGGAUUAGAGACCCGAGUAGUCC